rnacentral:rRNA from 1 species
UACGUAGGUGGCAAGCGUUGUCCGGAAUUAUUGGGCGUAAAGCGCGCGCAGGCGGCCUUUUAAGUCUGAUGUGAAAUCUUGCGGCUCAACCGCAAGCGGCCAUUGGAAACUGGGAGGCUUGAGUACAGAAGAGGAGAGUGGAAUUCCACGUGUAGCGGUGAAAUGCGUAGAUAUGUGGAGGAACACCAGUGGCGAAGGCGACUCUCUGGUCUGUAACUGACGCUGAGGCGCGAAAGCGCGGGGAGCAAACAGG